UACGUAGGGUGCGAGCGUUGUCCGGAAUUACUGGGCGUAAAGAGCUCGUAGGCGGUUUGUUGCGUCGGCCGUGAAAACUCAGGGCUUAACUCUGAGCCUGCGGUCGAUACGGGCAGACUUGAGUUCGGUAGGGGAGACUGGAAUUCCUGGUGUAGCGGUGAAAUGCGCAGAUAUCAGGAGGAACACCGAUGGCGAAGGCAGGUCUCUGGGCCGAUACUGACGCUGAGGAGCGAAAGCGUGGGGAGCGAACAGG
rnacentral:rRNA from 1 species